rnacentral:lncRNA from 1 species
GGCUGGGUCUGGCAUUGGUGCUGGGACACCAAAGCCCAGCACGGGGAUUUCUGCAGCUGGGAACAGAGUGUGUCUCUGUUCGGGCACUUUGUGGAGUACUAUAUCAUAAAAUCCUGUAGGAAAAACCUGGCACAGGGAAAAAGCAUGCACUUUUUUGGGUGAAAGGAGAGAUGAAUGCUGAUUUUCCAGCUGCUGCAAGGCCUUUGUGUAGUAACCAUGGCAACCAGGCUUCAAAGACAAAAGGGUUAGGGUACAGGUUUCCCAACUUUUUCAUCAGCAGAGACAGAGUCCUCCCAGUGCCGUCGUUUCAACACCAUCCCUCCAACACUCUCUCUCCAAUACUGUCCUUCCAACUCCAUCCUUCCAACACUGUCUGUGCAACAUUGUCCUUACACCAUCCUUCCAAUGCCAUCCUUCUAGCAUCUGAAGGAGCCUACAGGAAAGCUGGGGAGGGACUUUUGAUAAGGAUGGGUACUGGCAGGAUGAGGGGAAAUCGUUUUAAACUGGAAGAGGGCAGAUUUAGACUAGAUAUUAGGAAGAAACUGUUUACUGUGAGGGUGGUGAGACACUCGAACAGGUUGCUCGGCGAGGUUAUAGCAUGCCUCCCUGGAAGCACUCAAGCAACCUGGGCUAUGGGAGGUGUCCCUGCCUGUAGCAGGGGUUGGAACUGGGUGAUCUUAAAGGUCCAUUCCCACCCAAACCAUUCUGUGACUCCAUUCUAUGAUCCUUCCAAUGCUGUCCUUCCAACACCAUCCUCACAAUGCCAUCCUUCCAGUGCCAUUCUUCCAAUUCUGUUCCCAUGCGAUGAGGCUGCAGGAGCAGUGAGAGCCCAUGCAGCCCCAACCUGCUGGAGGCUGCCUUUCCAGCCUUGUCUGGUGCAGAGCCCUGGGUGCUCAGCCUGUACUUGCAGCAGUCUGGUGUUCCUGCUGUAUUCGCGUGCUCUUGCAGUGCUUGAAAUGUUGCACAUUUCCCUCUGCACUGCUGCUCUCACAGAAGCUCCAGCAGCUUCUACAAAUCCUUCCCAAAAUUGUAAGAUUGAGCCUGUUUUCUUGGAGGGCAAAAGUGGAAGCUCGGGAUCUCUG